UGCCUGGGGGAGGUGAUCGCCAGACCUGCUUGGGUUUCUAAGACCACACUUCCCCAUCAGCAUAGGUGGGGCCCAGCCUUCUCUCUGCCACCUCCAUCAUCAGGCAGUCGAGAUGACCAUUCCUGGGGCGCCCCAUUGUCACCUCCUUGGAGGACCAGAGGAAACCAGAGUUUGCAGCCUUCCUUCUGGGAGACAAAGUAUGGUGGCCGUGAGAGAUGGAAGGUUGAGAAGAAAAGCCUUGUUACCUGCAGCCAUGGCACAGUGAAAGGGACACCAGACUCCGAAGAUCUGGGUGUGUGUAUAGGUGUUGACCCUUACCAGCACUGGGCAGAUACCAUCUUUCCAAGUCUCAGCUUCCUUGUUUGUAAAGUGGAGGCUUAUCAUCAUGACUAACCAGGUGGUAAGUGACAGAUCUUUGUGAACUCUAGAGGGUGCUGGGGGUAUAGAAAGCCUCUGUAUAUGGUGCCUCUAGGCUGGUGAGGAAGGUGGGACUGAGGCAGAUAGGCAUAUAAAAUCAUAACUGCUAUCAUAGAGAUGUUCAUGGCAGGGCGUGGGGGGAGGAGAUGAUUUAGCUUCAAGGUGAGAGGCAGUCAGAUAGGGCUUCAUGGAGGAGGUGAUCAGCUGAAUCUUGAAAGGAAUAUUUGGCUUUGCCAACAUGAGACCAGGUCAUCUAACGCUUCUAAUAACUACAAUGCACAAGCUUCUAAGAGGGACGAUUAGGAAGCAAUUCCAGAGCCACAGACUGCCCACUAGCUGUGGGCAUAGGAGAGCUCUGGUCAACUUUCUGGAGAACCCCCCUCAGAUAUCCUGGUAGAAGCUGACCAGCUGAAGCUGGCUUGGAAGGUUCAAACUGAUAGACUGACAUUUCCCCCACCAAACCUCCUUUGUUCUUGGUGAGAAAGGAAAAUGAGCAUCUGGGAGAAAGUGCCUUUAUGAGAAACUUCAGGCAAUUGGUUGGUAUGAGAGUCAAGACAGAGUUAAAAACAGGAUUCUGACCUCUUCCAACUGGAACCAUCACUGUGCAUUGAUGGCUGGAGAAAAUAAUGUAAUCUGAUUGUUCCAUUGGGUCAUUUCUGGGAAUAUGAAGACAUUUUUCCAACACUGGAAGUCCGUGUGCAUUGGGAGAGUAUCUCGAUGCUUUGUCCUGCAUCCUCCCUUCCGUGGCCCCCUGCUCUGUCCACAGCAGACACUAGUUCCCCCUGAAACUCAACUUAAUUAGAUGUGACCCAGUUUUUGCUACAUUGAACUCUGUUGGGGUUGAAGAUGCAUUUGGCUGCCCAAGAAAACCCCAGCCUGCUUCUCCUCACUGCAUUGCAUUUGGCAAAUGUCUUCUGUAGAAG
rnacentral:lncRNA from 1 species